rnacentral:rRNA from 1 species
CUACGGGAGGCUGCAGUGAGGAAUAUUGCACAAUGGGGGGAACCCUGAUGCAGCAACGCCGCGUGGAGGAUGACGCAUUUCGGUGUGUAAACUCCUUUUAUAUGUCAAGAAAAUGACGGUAGCAUAUGAAUAAGCACCGGCUAACUCCGUGCCAGCAGCCGCGGUAAUACGGAGGGUGGCAAGCGUUACUCGGAAUCACUGGGCGUAAAGGACGCGUAGGCGGGUUGGAAAGUCAGGUGUUGAAAUCCUACAGCUUAACUGUAGAACUGCACUUGAAACUUCUAAUCUAGAGUAUGGGAGGGGGAGAUGGAAUUAGUGGUGUAGGGGUAAAAUCCGUAGAUAUCACUAGGAAUACCUAAAGCGAAGGCGAUCUCCUGGAACAUUACUGACGCUAAGGCGUGAAAGCGUGGGGAGCAAACAGGAUUAGAUACCCCGGUAGUC